rnacentral:rRNA from 1 species
AACGAACGCUGGCGGCAUGCCUAACACAUGCAAGUCGAACGAAGCCUUCGGGCUUAGUGGCGCACGGGUGCGUAACGCGUGGGAAUCUGCCCCUUGCUUCGGAAUAACAGUUAGAAUUGAAUGCUAAUACCGGAUGAAGUCUUCGGACCAAAGAUUUAUCGGGAAGGGAUGAGCGCGCGUAGGAUUAGGUAGUUGGUGGGGUAAAGGCCUACCAAGCCGCCGAUCCUUAGCUGGUCUGAGAGGAUGAUAAGCCACACUGGGACUGAGACACGGCACAGACUCCUACGGGAGGCAGCAGUGUGGAAUAGUGGACAAUGGACGCAAGUCUGAUCCAGCAAUGCCGCGUGAGUGAUGAAGGCAGUAAGGUUGUAAAGCUCUUUUACCAGUGAUGAUAAUGACAGUACCUGGAGAAUAAGCUCCGGCUAACUCCGUG